ensembl:lncRNA
GGAAAGUGUCCAACAUGCUGUCGGCGUUUCCGACCCGCCUGGCUCAAUCGCUGGGGGCAGAGGUCGACGGACCUCAGAGAGCAAAGGUAUCCGGGCAGAGCCUGACGCAGAGUGUGUGUGUAUGUGUGUGUGUGCUUCCAGAUCGGCCACAGGUCUCAGAGUGUGUGUGUAUGUGUGUGUGUGCUUCCAGAUUGGCCACAGGUCUCAGAGUGUGUGUGUGUGUGUGUGUGUGUGUGUGCUUCCAGAUCGGCCACAGGUCUCAGAGUGUGUGUGUGUGUGUGUGUGUGUGUGUGCUUCCAGAUCGGCCACAGGUCUCAGAGUGUGUGUGUGUGUGUGUGUGUGUGUGUGCUUCCAGAUCGGCCACAGGUCUCAGAGUGUGUGUGUGUGUGUAUGUGUGUGUGUGCCAGAUCGGCCACAGGUCUCAGAGUGUGUGUGUGUGUGUGUGUAUGUGUGUGUGUGCUUCCAGAUCGGCCACAGGUCUCAGAGUGUGUGUGUGUGUCCAUGUGUGUGUGUGCUUCCAGAUCGGCCACAGGUCUCAGAGUGUGUGUGUGUGUGGGGUUUGCAUGAGUGUGUCUCUUGGAAUGCAUUUAUAUUACUUGUUGUAUAAUAGUACAAUAGUGUGUGUGUGUGUGUGUGUGUGUGCACACCUUUUUGUGUGUGCAUAUGUGAGUGAAGGCGUGCAUGUGCACGUCCAUUUAAAAUGACUGACCUGUCACUUGACCCCCCCUCCAAAUGUCUGGGGGCAAGCACCACAACAUUUAUCUUCAGUGGUUCUCGCUGAGCACUUUGACCUCUGAGGCGCGUGGCAGACAGGCGAUGUGUGUUUAACCUGCCCUGCCCGCAGCGUCGGCAGAGAGAAACCGAAUCGAAAGAAGUGAUUACAAUGUGACCUUCUCUGGCAGCUGAGUGUGCUGAGAUCCUAUCUGUUAUUUUUCCGUGCGAGUCAUCGUAAGUCAAAGUUUACAGAUGGAGAAGCAUUGUUUAUGGCUUCUGCCCCCGUAAAGUUACAUAUCUGUCAGCCCUGAGCCCACACAUCAUUUAUAACAUUUUCCGUAUGCUAUCGCAGUAAACAUCUUGGUGCGUGGUUUUAUCGUGUUCAAUGUUCUCUGAGGUAUUGAUAACGUUGAACUCAGCGUUCGGAAAAUAAUUAAACAAUUCAAAUUAGAUUUUGACUUCUGCUUGAUUUUGCAAGCCAUAAAUAAGACGGUUCCAGAUAAAGUUGCAUACCAGGUGUUGUGCAAUCCAAGGGGGAGGCUGGAGAGUGUUGGGUUAGCAGAGCACAUGGGCCUUGGUGUGGUGGGUUCUGUGUUUGUCUUCAAUUAUUAUAAUAAUCUUUGAUAGUAGUUAGCGUUAGUAUGCUGAGGCUCAACCAUCCUCAUAAUAAUCGCUCUGCGCUACAAUGAGAACCCGAGGCAUCUGUUCCCCUCCUGAUCUAAGUCAUAACCGCUGAGUUCCGUGUUUAGCGGAGUGCUGAUGCAAAUAGCCUCCGUCUACGUUAGCGCCCAGUGUCACUUCCCUCGCUCACUACAAACCCAGUCAGGCUGCACGGCCCUCUUAGACAACGUACACACGUGCACAGGGCCAUGCACACACACACACACACUCCCUGUCUCUCUCGCUCACAAACCACCCCACACAUGCAUUCUUUCUCACUCACUCUCUCCCACACACACACACACACACACACACACACACACACACACACACACACACACACACACACACACACACACACACACAACAAAUACACACUUUUUAUCUCUGUCACAGACACACACACACACACUCUAACGACACACACCUUGUCUCUGUGCGGUCUACCCCUCUCUCGUUGGCACGGUGAUGGCCCUGAUGAGGAUGAUGAUGAUGAUGAUGAUGAUGAGGAUGAUGAUGAUGAUCCCACCCAUAGACUGUGACGUCCCCCAUUGGUUUACACACCGUUUCUACAGAGCUAUCGUUUCAGCAUUUUCCACCAACAGUGAAAUGAUCCGCGACAUCUCUGGGGGAAGUGUUUAGAAAUGGCAUUGUGUCUGAUCCCUUAAAGCCAUAGAGAAGAAGAAUUGCUGUUAUGGCAUUGAAAAUGCAAGCGCUCUUCAAUAUCUUUGGCAUUUCCAUUAAUUAUUAAUAAUUAAUAAUAAAAAAGGAUUUAAAAGUACUUGAGGCGACCAUCUGACAAGUGGAUUAUAUCAAUGUUUGAGUAAAUCACUUGAUAAAUAUUUGGAACAUUUUAAUGUAAUCACUUAAUUGGAUAAAUCCCUAGAGCUAGACUAUGAUGCUAAAGUAUAGGUUAAACUGUUUAAGUCUGGUCUGCCAGUUAGCCCCCCCCACACACACACACCCCCACAAUACUUCUAAUCAAACAGGUACAAAUGUCUCGAGUCCCACUUCAGGUCUGCAACUGAUGAGUGAGUUAAAGCUUAUCUGCUCUGUCUCUCUCUCUCUCUCUCUCUCUCUCUCUCUCUCUCUCUCUCUCUCUCUCUCUCUCUCUCUCUCUCUCUCUCUGUCUCUCUGUCUCUCUGUCUC